UCCAGGAAAAGCCUCUAAGCAUCAGGUAACAUUAAAUCGUACCCCAAACCGACACAGGUGGUCAGGUAGAGAAUACUCAGGCGCUUGAGAGAACUCGGGUGAAGGAACUAGGCAAAAUGGUGCCGUAACUUCGGGAGAAGGCACGCUGGCAUUAGGUAAAGGGACUUGCUCCCGGCGCCGAAGCCAGUCGCAGAUACCAGCUGGCUGCAACUGUUUAAUAAAAACACAGCACUGUGCAAACACGAAAGUGGACGUAUACGGUGUGACGCCUGCCCGGUGCUGGAAGGUUAAUUGAUGGGGUCAGCCGCAAGGCGAAGCUCUUGAUCGAAGCCCCAGUAAACGGCGGCCGUAACUAUAACGGUCCUAAGGUAGCGAAAUUCCUUGUCGGGUAAGUUCCGACCUGCACGAAUGGCGUAAUGAUGGCCAGGCUGUCUCCACCCGAGACUCAGUGAAAUUGAACUCGCUGUGAAGAUGCAGUGUACCCGCGGCAAGACGGAAAGACCCCGUGAACCUUUACUAUAGCUUGACACUGAACAUUGAGCCUUGAUG
rnacentral:rRNA from 1 species